CCUACGGGAGGCAUCAGUGGGGAAUAUUGCACAAUGGGGGAAACCCUGAUGCAGCGACGCCGCUUGAGUGAAGAAGUAUUUCGGUAUGUAAAGCUCUAUCAGCAGGGAAGAAAAUGACGGUACCUGAUUAAGAAGCCCCGGCUAACUACGUGCCCGCAGCCGCGGUAAUACUUAGGGGGCAAGCGUUAUCCGGAUUUACGUGGUGUAAAGGGCGCGUAGACGGCAGCACAAGUUGUGAGAGAAAUGCCGGGGAUUAACCCCCGAACUGCUUUGGAAACUGCGCAGCUAGAGUGCAGGAGAGGUAAGGGGAAUGCCUAGUGUAGAGGUGAAAUGCGUAGAGAUUAGGAGGAACACCAGUGGCGAAGGCGGCUUACUGGACUGUAACUGACGUUGAGGCUCGAAAGCGUGGGGAGCAAACAGGAUUAGAUACCCGGGUAGUC
rnacentral:rRNA from 1 species